GACGAACGCUGGCGGCGUGCCUAAUACAUGCAAGUAGAACGCACAGGAUGCACCGUAGUUUACUACACCGUAUUCUGUGAGUUGCGAACGGGUGAGUAACGCGUAGGUAACCUGCCUGGUAGCGGGGGAUAACUAUUGGAAACGAUAGCUAAUACCGCAUAAGAACAUUUACUGCAUGGUAGAUGUUUAAAAGGUGCAAAUGCAUCACUACCAGAUGGACCUGCGUUGUAUUAGCUAGUAGGUGAGGUAACGGCUCACCUAGGCGACGAUACAUAGCCGACCUGAGAGGGUGAUCGGCCACACUGGGACUGAGACACGGCCCAGACUCCUACGGGAGGCAGCAGUAGGGAAUCUUCGGCAAUGGGGGGAACCCUGACCGAGCAACGCCGCGUGAGUGAAGAAGGUUUUCGGAUCGUAAAGCUCUGUUGUUAAGGAAGAACGAGUGUGAGAA
rnacentral:rRNA from 1 species